AAGGUCAAAUGGUGAAAAAUGCCAUAGUCGAUUGCAGGUUGAGUCUCUCCCAUUUCUGAGAGGACUCAUCACACCUAAUUUGAGUAAUUUCCUUUUCAAUUUCCUGGGCCAUUUUAUUUUACCUCUGGCUGCCCCUUGGAUGAGUGCAGCAGUCCCUGGGAAGAUGGUCCUGAGUUGUAUAAGAAAGUUAGCAGUUUCCUUUGCUGUGAUAAAACACCAUCCCAAAAGCAACUAGGAGAGAAGGGUGUGUGUCAUCUUACAGCUUGUAAACCAUCAUCCAGGAAAGGCAGGGAAGGAACUCAAGGCAGGUACCUAGAGAAAGCACUUGAAGCAAUUAGAAGAUUGAAUCAUUACCACUGCUGGGUUGAUAAUCAUUUCUCAGGCUGUCUUUUGGCAAAGAGCAAGCUACAUUUUACAUUGCUUGAGUCACAAUGGUCAGUCUUCUCAAACGGAAGACUUCAAGGAAAAAGAAACUUGGAGUAAGAUGAAAGAAGAAAGAGGAAAGACAAGAAAUCAAGAACUCCAAAGGUCACAAGGCAGGAACAUAAGAAAAGAAAUAAAAUUUUUCUCUUUGUAUUAAAAUUUUUAAUAUUAUAAUGUAAUAAUUAUACUAUAAAUAUCAGGGAACAUCUCUA
rnacentral:lncRNA from 1 species